GAUGAACGCUGGCGGCGUGCCUAAUACAUGCAAGUCGAGCGAACGGACGAGAAGCUUGCUUUUCUGAUGUUAGCGGCGGACGGGUGAGUAACACGUGGAUAACCUACCUAUAAGACUGGGAUAACUUCGGGAAACCGGAGCUAAUACCGGCUAAUAUUUUUAACCGCAUGGUUCAAAAGUGAAAGACGGUCUUGCUGUCACUUAUAGAUGGAUCCGCGCUGCAUUAGCUAGUUGGUAAGGUAACGGCUUACCAAGGCAACGAUGCAUAGCCGACCUGAGAGGGUGAUCGGCCACACGGGAACUGAGACACGGUCCAGACUCCGACGGGAGGCAGCAGUAGGGAAUCUUACGCAAUGGGCGAAAGCCUGACGGAGCAACGCCGCGUGAGGGAUGAAGGUCUUCGGAUCGUAAAACGCUGUUAUUAGGGAAGAACAUAUGUGUAAGUAACCGUGCACAUCUUGACGGUACCGAAACAGAAAGCCACGGCUAACUACGUG
rnacentral:rRNA from 1 species